rnacentral:misc_RNA from 1 species
UCCUAGUUAACCUAGGCAGUCUUGCCAGAGUCCCCGCCAUUACGCGUUGGCAACUGACAAUAAGGGUUGCGCUCGUUGCGGGACUUAACCCAACACCUCACGGCACGAGCUGACGACAGCCAUGCAGCACCUAUAAUAAACCCCUUUCGGGAAACAGAAUCUCUCCUGUCGCGCUUAUCAUUUCGAGCCUGGGUAAGGUUCUUCGCGUAGCAUCGAAUUAAACCACAUGCUCCACUGCUUGUGCGGGCCCCCGUCAAUUCUUUUGAGUUUCACCCUUGCGAGCGUACUCCUCAGGCGGCAUACUUAACGCGUUAGCUCCGAUACAGACAGGGUUGAGCCCGCCUACAUCUAGUAUGCAUCGUUUAAGGCUAGGACUAC